rnacentral:pre_miRNA from 1 species
GAUUUGAACCGAACAAGUCAUCAACAACAAAGUUGUAUAACUCAUCAAUAUCUAUAACUUUUAUUUUGGUAAUUUCUUCAUCCAACGAAGUGAUAGUAAUAUUGUUCACAAAAUUUACAUUUCUCUUACAUGGUUUUAUAAACUAUAAGAGAUAUAUACAAAUUUUGUAAACAAUAUUAUUGUCAUUUUGUUGGAUGAAGAAAUGACCAAAAUAAAAGUUAUAGAUAUUGAUGAGUUAUACAACUUUGUUGUUGAUAACUUUUUCAGUUGAAAUC